AUGUGUAUACCUGAGCUUAUCAACGAGACUUACGGUUUUGUCACUGUUGUGGUUGAAGAGGCGUCGGACCUAUUUCCGGCGAUUAAGCAUCGGUGUUCUCUUUUUCUUUUAUUGAUUGCACUAUCUUAUACAUGUUGGUAUCAUCACAAGAUCAGAGAGGAAAGACGUGGGAAGAAGAAAUGGUAUGUUGAGCACAGGAAAAAGGGAGCGGCACGGUGGCAGUAG